AGCCAGGUCAGGCCUCUUGCCACAUACUCCAUUGACUCUAGUGCCUAACCCAUGCUCAUCACAGAGCUCACACUGGAACCAUUGUUAAACAGACUCUAAUGGAAAUGACUUCGUUCAGCUGGUGAACAUUUUGGAAGAUUCCAGAAAAACAUGAACAAGUGUUUGAGUGCUCUUAAGGGGAUUGUCUAAUAUCUUGGCUCCUGACUCAUCCUUAGAAGUCUUCCAGCCACCUUGUACCCAUUUCAAGCCCAAGGGCUCUUUAACGUAAAUGAGUUACUGAGCAGGUUAAUGGGACCUGGACUGGAAAAGGAUUGUUUGUGUGAGAAUCAUUCAUGACAAAGGCAGUGACACCUCCUUCAAAAACCUGUGUCUUUCUGGCAGAGUGUUGCUGGAGACGGCCACUGGAGAGGCUGAGUCAAAUCAAUCUCCUCACCUGAGGACUUCCUAAGACCAGCACACUGAAGGACCAGCAGCAACAACAAUAAUGCUAAUGCUCC
rnacentral:lncRNA from 1 species